AUGUGCUUCGACAACACAUAUACUAAAAUUGGAACGAUAAAGAGAAGAUUAGUAUGGCUCCUGCAUAAGGAUGACGCACAAAAUCAUGAAGCAUUUUUUUUU